rnacentral:rRNA from 1 species
UGGGGAAUAUUGGACAAUGGGCGCAAGCCUGAUCCAGCAAUGCCGCGUGUGUGAAGAAGGUCUUCGGAUUGUAAAGCACUUUUGGCAGGGACGAUGAUGACGGUACCUGCAGAAUAAGCCCCGGCUAACUUCGUGCCAGCAGCCGCGGUAAUACGAAGGGGGCUAGCGUUGCUCGGAAUGACUGGGCGUAAAGGGCGCGUAGGCGGCUUGCACAGUCAGAUGUGAAAUUCCUGGGCUCAACCUGGGGACUGCAUUUGAUACGUGUGGGCUUGAGUGGAGAAGAGGGUCGUGGAAUUUCCAGUGUAGAGGUGAAAUUCGUAGAUAUUGGAAAGAACACCGGUGGCGAAGGCGGCGACCUGGUCUUUAACUGACGCUGAGGCGCGAAAGCGUGGGGAGCAAAC